UGGCAUUGUACUGACAAAAACAGUGCUUUUAGGUAUUCUAUGUUUUCUUUUCUGUCUGUUUUAGUCACAUGAUACACACAGGAGUUACUACUUGUUUGCAUAACCAUCAUUUGGGCUAAUGAAUCUUUAUGGCCUAAUAAUUUUUU